rnacentral:rRNA from 1 species
UCUACGGGUGGCAGCAGUAGGGAAUCUUCCACAAUGGGCGAAAGCCUGAUGGAGCAACGCCGCGUGGGUGAAGAAGGUCUUCGGAUCGUAAAACCCUGUUGUUAGAGAAGAAAGUGCGUGAGAGUAACUGUUCACGUUUCGACGGUAUAUAACCAGAAAGCCACGGCGAAAUACGUGCCAGAAGCCGCGGUAAUACGUAGGUGGCAAGGGUUAUACGGAUUAAUUGGGCGUAAAGGGAACGCAGGGGGUCUUUUAAGUAUGAUGUGAAAGCCUUCGGCUUAACCGGAGUAGUGCAUUGGAAACUGGGAGACUGGAGUGCAGAAGAGGAGAGUGGAACUCCAUGUGUAGGGG